rnacentral:lncRNA from 1 species
CGUGAAACUGGGACUCAACCAACACCAAGGAACGACUGUGUUGUCAGAGGUGAAAUGUGUUUGUGUGUGUGACAAUAAACAGCCUUGGCGGUCUCGGUAAGAUGCCUUCGCGGGGUAUCCCCGAGAAUGGAUUUUUGGCAAUGGCUAAGUUUUUGAAAAGUACAUAAGUCAUGUUGAGUAAUUGGAUGAAAUCCAAUUAUUUAUAUGGGUUGGGAUGAAUUAUUUUAAUUGUCUCCUAUUACUCGACUUUAGAUUAUUUUGAUGAUGUCUGUCUACUCACUGGGAUUUUAUAAUCUCACCCCUUCUUCCUAUACAUUUUUCAGG